GGGCGGUUAGCUCAGCUGGUUAGAGCGUCCCGUUCACAUCGGGAAGGUCGCAGGUUCAAAUCCUGCACCGCCCACAA
rnacentral:tRNA from 1 species